rnacentral:rRNA from 1 species
GUAUCGUAGUACUGUGUUCUUUCUGUGACGGUAACUACUCAGAAAGUCACGGCUAACUACGUGCCAGCAGCCGCGGUAAUACGUAGGUGGCAAGCGUUUCCGGAUUUAUUGGGCGUAAAGCGAGCGCAGGCGGUUCAUUAAGUCUGAUGUGAAAGCCUUCGGCUCAACCGAAGAAUUGCAUCGGAAACUGGUGAACUUGAGUGCAGAAGAGGAGAGUGGAACUCCAUGUGUAGCGGUGGAAUGCGUAGAUAUAUGGAAGAACACCAGUGGCGAAGGCGGCUCUCUGGUCUGCAACUGACGCUGAGGCUCGAAAGCAUGGGUAGCGAACAGGAUUAGAUACCCUGGUAGUCCAUGCCGUAAACGAUGAGUGCUAAGUGUUGGAGGGUUUCCGCCUUUCAGUGUCGCAGCUAACGCAUUAAGCACUCCGCCUGGGGAGUACGACCGCAAGGUUGAAACUCAAAGGAAUUGACGGGGGCCCGCACAAGCGGUGGAGCAUGUGGUUUAAUUCGAAGCUACGCGAAGAACCUUACCAGGUCUUGACAUCCUGUGCAAACCUAAGAGAUUAGGUGUUCCCUUCGGGGACGCUGAGACAGGUGGUGCAUGGCUGUCGUCAGCUCGUGUCGUGAGAUGUUGGGUUAAGU